rnacentral:rRNA from 1 species
AACGAACACUGGCGGCAGGCUUAACACUGCAAGUCGAGCGCCCCGCAAGGGGAGCGGCAGACGGGUGAGUAACGCGUGGGAAUCUACCCAUCUCUACGGAAUAACGCAUGGAAACGUGUGCUAAUACCGUAUACGUCCUUCGGGAGAAAGAUUUAUCGGAGAUGGAUGAGCCCGCGUUGGAUUAGCUCGUUGGUGGGGUAAAGGCCUACCAAGGCGACGAUCCCUAGCUGGUCUGAGAGGAUGAUCAGCCACACUGGGACUGAGACACGGCCCAGACUCCUACGGGAGGCAGAAGUGGGGAAUAUUGGACAAUGGGCGAAAGCCUGAUCCAGCUAGUCCGCGUGAGUGAUUACGGCCCUAUGGCUGUAAAGCUCGUCUCUUGGUGAAGAUCAUGUCGGUAACCUGAGAAGAAGCCCCGGCUAACUUCGUGCCAGCCUCCGCCGUAAAAC